UUUCCGUAGGUGAACCUGCGGAAGGAUCAUUCAUAAUAAAGUGUUUUAUGGCACUUUUUAAAAAUCCAUAUCCACCUUGUGUGCAAUGUUAGAUCUCGUCAAUCUUGGCGAGAUUUUUAUACAUCAACUCAUUUUUUAACUAAUUUGUCUGAAAAAUAUUAUGAGUACUUAAUUCAAAAUACAACUUUCAACAACGGAUCUCUUGGCUCUC
rnacentral:misc_RNA from 1 species